rnacentral:misc_RNA from 1 species
ACUUAUCAGUUUAUAAUUUGCCCACACUUAUAGGCUCUAACACUGGAAAAAAGUCAUAGUUCUCAUGAACUAUUAGCAGCCAACCAAAUUGAAGUGCAAAAAAAUCCCAAACACGCUAGUAAGAAAUCAUUUUUGUUCAUUUGUCUCAUUUUUCCUAAUGCUAUUCCAUUUUCUUUAACAAAUCACACAUGGAAGGUAAAGAUCCUGCUAAAUUCAAGAGUUUUGUUUAGCUUGUGGUCUUCAUUUGGGAUUAAUAACAAGAAUUUAUGGCAACUGGCAAGCAAUGACGAUUAGUAAGGGCAUUAACUAUUGAUGUAAUGAUUGUAUGUUAGCACAGUAAUGCACCUCAUAACAUUGCUCUAGCUCAUUUUGUAUAACAGUAUUUGGAACAAGCUUUUUGUUUUUUCUAGCAAGCAUUGAGUUCAAGCAGAAUCUACAGAAAAAUUCCUACUGAAUAAAUUCAGGGAUUCUGGAAGAAAUGAAGAAAUGGAAAAUUUUCAUCUUAGCUUCCAUAUGUCAUUGAAACUUUUGGCAUCUCAAAGCCAAAGCAAUGCCCUGAGCCAAAUAUCCAAUAUAUUGGAGAACUUUAUUUUGUCAAUAUUGUCUUCUCUUUGAUUUAU